GAUCAUAUGCUUGUCUCAAAGCUUAAGCCAUGCAAGUCUAAGUUCAGGCUCGUUCCUUUCGGGGAGCGAGUCGAAACUGCGAACGGCUCAUUAGUCAGAUAACGUUCCUUGGCAAAUAGCGGGUCGAUUUGAAUGGAUAACUGUGGUAAUUCUAGAGCUAAUACAUGCAACAUCACCGUGGAGCCCCUUCGGGGGACGCGGCAUUUAUUCUCUAAACCAAGAUCGCCCUAGCCCGCCGAACUGCCAAAAGACAGCGAGGGGGUGAAAACGACAAGUGUUGAAUUCCGAAUAACUGUGCCGAUCGCGGGGUCCACCCGGGCCCCCGACGACUUUGCCAUGAAGUGUCUGUCCCAUCAAUUGGCGAUGGUCGGCGACCUGCCUACCACGGUGAUGACGGGUAACGGGGAAUCAGGGUUCGAUUCCGGAGAGGGAGCCUGCGAAACGGCUACCACCUCCAAGGAGGGCAGCAGGCGCGCAACUUACCCAAUCCCGACACGGGGAGGUAGUGACGAAAAAUAACGUGGCGGGGCCCUUACGUGGUCGCCGCGGGCGGAAUGAGCGCAAUGUAAAAGAUUGUGCGAGGAGCUAUUGGAGGGCAAGCCUGGUGCCAGCAGCCGCGGUAAUUCCAGCUCCAAUAGCCUAUAUCGGAGCUGCUGCGGUUAAAAAGCUCGUAGUUGGAUCUCGGAGGCGGCACGGUCGGACGCGAUACGCUGCGGGUCUGACCGGCGAUAUCUUGGCCGCCCCUAACCAGCGUGCGGGGCGAGGUGGGCCUCGCGGUCCAGCCUUGUACUUCGGUCUCUCUCUGGGCUGCUCGCUGCUCCUUGCGGGUGACGGGUACGCGUGGAGAGGCCAGGCCGAUCCCGCCGCAUCUUGUGUCUACCUUGAAAAAAUUAGAGUGCUAAAGGCAGGCUAAACCCCGAGCCUGAAUAUUUCGUGCAUGGAAUAAGCGGGGAGGCUCUUACCGGAGGGUGGUCCGGCCGACAGGCGACGUCGCUUUCGCUGUCGGUCUCGCCGGAGAGCUAGGAUUCGAGAGGAACGGUGGGGGGCGAGCGUAACAAGCGGGGA
rnacentral:rRNA from 1 species